rnacentral:rRNA from 1 species
AACGCUAGCUACAGGCUUAACACAUGCAAGUCGAGGGGAAACGACAUCGGAAGCUUGCUUCCGAUAGGCGUCGACCGGCGCACGGGUGAGUAACGCGUAUCCAACCUGCCCACCACUUGGGGAUAACCUUGCGAAAGUAAGACUAAUACCCAAUGAUAUCUCUAGAAGACAUCUGAAAGAGAUUAAAGAUUUAUCGGUGAUGGAUGGGGAUGCGUCUGAUUAGCUUGUUGGCGGGGUAACGGCCCACCAAGGCAACGAUCAGUAGGGGUUCUGAGAGGAAGGUCCCCCACAUUGGAACUGAGACACGGUCCAAACUCCUACGGGAGGCAGCAGUGAGGAAUAUUGGUCAAUGGGCGAGAGCCUGAACCAGCCAAGUAGCGUGCAGGACGACGGCCCUAUGGGUUGUAAACUGCUUUUAUAAGGGAAUAAAGUGAGUCUCGUGAGACUUUUUGCAUGUACCUUAUGAAUAAGGACCGGCUAAUUCCGUGCCAGCAGCCGCGGUAAUACGGAAGGUCCGGGCGUUAUCCGGAUUUAUUGGGUUUAAAGGGAGCGUAGGCCGGAGAUUAAGCGUGUUGUGAAAUGUAGACGCUCAACGUCUGCACUGCAGCGCGAACUGGUUUCCUUGAGUACGCACAAAGUGGGCGGAAUUCGUGGUGUAGCGGUGAAAUGCUUAGAUAUCACGAAGAACUCCGAUUG